GAUGAACGCUGGCGGCGUGCCUAACACAUGCAAGUCGAACGGAGUCCAGCCUUUAAGACCUUCGGGUCAAAGAGGGGAAGACUGAGUGGCGGACGGGUGAGUAACACGUGGGCAACCUGGCUCAUAGAGGGGGAUAACAGAGAGAAAUUUCUGCUAAUACCGCAUAAGCACACACUGCCGCAUGGCAGAGGGUGAAAAGAGAAUCGCUAUGAGAUGGACCCGCGUCUGAUUAGCCAGUUGGCAGGGUAAGAGCCUACCAAAGCGACGAUCAGUAGCCGAUUCGGGAGGAAGAACGGGCAAAUUGGGAAUGAGACAAGGCCCCAAAUCCUAAGGGAGGGAGGAGUGGGGGAUAAUGCAAAAUGGGGGGAACCCUGAUGCAGCGACGCCGCGUGAGUGAAGAAGUAUUUCGGUAUGUAAAGCUCUAUCAGCAGGGAAGAUAAUGACAGUACCUGAAUAAGAAGCCCCGGCUAACUACGUG
rnacentral:rRNA from 1 species